rnacentral:lncRNA from 1 species
CCAGUCUUAUCGACAUCAUCGAUCUCUGACUCGAUGAUCUAAUAACUAAAAAUAUUUUAAAUUGGGACUAUCAAAAUUUUAGAUCUCACUAGUAUGAUCUCAUUAUGGUCCUAAAAUUAUUAUCUUAAUCUAUGGGAUUUAUCAUAAUCAUAAAAAUAUGAUGCAGUAAAUGAUAAAACAUAAUACCUCAUGAAUAAAAUAACUAAUAUCAUGC